GGAGUGCGCACCGAGCGGCAGUGACUUCGCCGCUGCUGUAGUUCCCCGGCUGGAUGCGGUGACUGGUGCCAGUGCUCAGGCGCCCGCUGCCCUUGACCUCCCGCCCCGCGAGCCCUAACUCAGCGCAGGAGGACCGGCUGCCGCCGCCGCCGCCGCCAGAGCCUUGGCUGCCCAGUUGCCAGUCCUACCACGGUCGGAGGUAACCUUCCUGGCUCCAGUCACAUGGCCAGAUAAGGUGGUGUGUGUGGGCAUGAAUUAUGUGGACCACUGCAAAGAACAGAACGUGCCCGUGCCCAAGGAGCCCAUCAUCUUCAGCAAGUUUGCCAGCUCCAUCGUGGGGCCCUAUGAUGAGGUGGUCCUCCCACCACAGAGCCAGUGGCUGCUGGGAAAAACCUUCGACACCUUCUGCCCUCUGGGCCCUGCCUUGGUGACCAAGGACAGUGUAGCAGAUCCACACAACUUAAAGAUCUGCUGUCGAGUGAAUGGGGAAGUGGUCCAGAGCAGCAACACCAACCAGAUGGUAUUCAAGACAGAGGACCUGAUAGCCUGGGUGUCCCAGUUUGUUACCUUUUACCCAGGGGAUGUCAUCCUGACUGGGACCCCCCCACCUCCACCCAGGUGUCGGUGUAUUCAGGAAACCUCCUGUCUUUCUCAAGGUCUCUGAAGGUCCAGACAGCACUGAUGGCGAGCUUUGGGUCCGCACACUCUGGAAAGAAGAGAGAAGUGAAGGCUCUAGGUAGGGAGAACAGAGAGCCACUGGGCACAGGCUUCUCUCCUCUUGUUUAAAGAAGCCCAGGGAGGGAUAGAGCUCUGACUGGACAGAAGACUGUACUCUGCAGCCUGCCUUCCUAGAGUUGGGUUGUCACUGUCCUGCAGGGGGCAGCAGCCACCAGCAAACACCACUGCCUGCAGGAGCCUGGGCUGACUGGUUGGGACUCACCGAAGAUCCCUUCUUCCUGGGCGGUGGCCUGCAGGAACUGGAACAGCUGCUCUGUGUAGCCCAACUCUGCAGAAGAGAGAAGACCUAGACCUGGCACCCAGCACAGACACAGCCUGCCUCGAGGACUGCAAGGGAACAAGGGCCUCACCAGUAUCGGGCAGCUGGCCCUGGCGGAGGAAGGCGGCAGCCUGUGCAAAGGCCUUGAGCAGCGGGCUGAGCAGGCGGCAGAGGAAAAGAAAGAAAUCUGGGCAGUGUGACUGCUGGCUGAGCUGGAGGGGACAGGCCGGGGUGAGUGCAGCUCCCCACCGCCUCCCUACCACCUCCCUCCAGGGGCAGCUUUUUGAAACACACCCUGAAGUACCGGCCGUCAGCCUCUCCGAAGUCAUCACUGUCACUAUCAGUAAAGUCCCCACUCGGUUUCCA
rnacentral:lncRNA from 1 species